UACGAAGGGGGCUAGCGUUGUUCGGAAUUACUGGGCGUAAAGCGCACGUAGGCGGACUUUUAAGUCAGAUGUGAAAUCCCGGGGCUCAACCUCGGAACUGCAUUUGAAACUGGAAGUCUGGAGUUCAGGAGAGGUUAGCGGAAUACCGAGUGUAGAGGUGAAAUUCGUAGAUAUUCGGUGGAACACCAGUGGCGAAGGCGGCUAACUGGACUGAUACUGACGCUGAGGUGCGAAAGUGUGGGGAGCAAACAGG
rnacentral:rRNA from 1 species